UCAACGGCUUGUUGACGUGGACGCCCUUGACCACGCAGCCUGUCCAGCUGACCAUCAUGGUCAGUGACCAGCUCUCCAGCUCCCUGUUCACCCCCAUCCUGCGCGUCUGCAACUGCCUCAACGGAGGCUCCUGCCAGUACGACAGCAUCACCGAAAACCACCAGAAGGGAACUUUCCAGGUGCGUUUUUUUUUUUAAUUCGCUGCAACCAUUUUCCCUUUAUUCAUCUCCUGAGGGGAAUCAGCAGUGCUGUUCAUUGUUCGUCCCUCACAGGUGGUGGCCUGCUUGUGCCCCAAGGGAUUCAGUGGGAAGUUCUGUGGCCAAGUCGCAGACGUGUGUCGAGGCCAGCCGUGUUUCCGAGGGGUGCGGUGCCGGCGGGACCCCGAGCCCGGCCAGUUCACCUGUGAGGGGUGUCCCGACAACACCUUCCCGGCGGGAAAAGAGGGAUACAAGUGCUUUGAGCACGACAUGUGCAGCCCUCCUUUCCCCUUCCCCUGCCACAAAGACGCCGUCUGCCUCAGCACGAGGCAAAACUUCACCUGCACGUGUAAAACGGGCUUCACUGGCGACGGACAUAACUGCACAGAUAUAGACGAGUGUGCAGAGCUCACAACCUGCGGCAAUGCCAAGUUUGAGUGCAGGAACGGGCCCGGCUCCGUCGCCUGCCUCUGCAGAUACCGGAGGAGCAAGGACACGGACGGGUGUGGUGACUCGGCCAAUCCUCCAGGGUGUAACGUGUUCAACGUCUCUGUGGGCUGGGCGAAGAGCACACCUGAUGGACUCCAGCGGCUGGUGGACCUUCUGUCAAUGGGCUUCCAGAACAAAUUCUACAACGCCAGCCAGAGGGAUGGCGUGCAGGGCUCCCGGCCGGAUGUGACAGAGUAUCGCAUCAACGUGUCCAGCGACACACCCCACUGGUACAUCAGAGACUACAUGGCCAGAGUCAGUAGCCUCUACUCAAUGAGUACCGUAGAAGUUGACGGUAAACUACCAAUUCUUUUCCUAACUCAACUUCAGCAUAUUGACUGA
ensembl:lncRNA